AGCAGCCGCCGCGGGAAUACGUAGGUGGCAAGCGUUGUCCGGAAUUAUUGGGCGUAAAGGGCUCGCAGGCGGUUUCUUAAGUCUGAUGUGAAAGCCCCCGGCUCAACCGGGGAGGGUCAUUGGAAACUGGGAAACUUGAGUGCAGAAGAGGAGAGUGGAAUUCCACGUGUAGCGGUGAAAUGCGUAGAGAUGUGGAGGAACACCAGUGGCGAAAGCACUCUGCUGGGCCGACACUGACACUGAGAGACGAAAGCUAGGGGAGCAAAUGGGAUUAGAUACCCCGGUAGUCCCUGUCUCUUAUAC
rnacentral:rRNA from 1 species